rnacentral:rRNA from 1 species
GGGACGAACGCUGGCGGCGUGCUUAACACAUGCAAGUCGAGCGGAAAGGCCCUUCGGGGUACUCGAGCGGCGAACGGGUGAGUAACACGUGAGCAACCUGCCCUUAGCUCUGGGAUAGCUCCGGGAAACCGGAAUUAAUACCGGAUAUUACACCGGCUGGCAUCGGCUGGUGUGGAAAGAUUUAUCGGCUAAGGAUGGACUCGCGGCCUAUCAGCUUGUUGGUGGGGUAGAAGCCUACCAAGGCGACGACGGGUA